rnacentral:tRNA from 1 species
UCCCUGAUGGCUCAGAUGGUAAAGCGUCUGCCUGCAGUGCAGGAGACCUGGGUUCGAUCCCUGGGUUGGGAA